AAAUGCACCCUCAACCCUUACUACAAUGAGUCGUUCUCAUUUGAAGUCCCAUUUGAACAAAUACAAAAAAUACAACUGGUUGUCACUGUCGUGGAUUACGAUCGUAUUGGAACAUCUGAGGCUAUUGGACGUUGUGUAUUGGGUUAUAAUGCAACUGGUACAGAGCUACGACAUUGGUCAGAUAUGCUGGCUUCGCCGCGAAGACCAAUUGCUCAGUGGCAUACAUUAAAAGAAGUAGAAGAAACAGAACACUUAAUCACUGGAAAAUAAGGAAAUUAAACAAGCUCAAAACAAAAUAAUUUCAAACGGCUUCAAUAAAAUUUCAAGCACUUUUCUUGAUCAGUACUACAAUUAAUUGGCGACCAAUUCUUAAAAAAUAAUUUUCCGCAUCCCCACAAUAUUACGUAAGCUAACAUAAGUAGCAGAAAUAAUAGCAGAUACUGAAUGAAAAAUCAACUUCCUCUGAAAAUAAAGAAAACACUAUAAUUGAUUUCGCAUCAUAAUACGAUAAUGUUGUAACAAUAUGAAACAUACUUUAGGCAAACCAAAUUGACUACCUUAAGUGACUAUUAGAAGCAUGAAAUUAUUUACAUUCCCAUUUAAAUUAUAAAUGUGUUUCCACUUUAUAAUGUAUAGCUAUAUAUGUAUAUUGCCUAACUGAAUGUGUGUAUAUUAAAAUAUAUGCAGGCGUAUAGUUGAUAUGUGCUCUUAUGUAUAAGCUUGCAUAUUAUCCAUUCGCUUAUCAACAUAAUUUUAAAAAAUUAAUCUUAAAUCUUAUCGUAACAAAAAUCACAGUCUGCCAUAAAAGAUCAUAAUUUUUUUUAAGUAUAUUGAUACUGUAAUCGAUUUGUGCUUAUUCAUACAAGUGAAACAAAAUUCCAUAUACAAAUAUACUAUCAAUUUACUUUACUUGGUUAUACGAUUUUAUUACUGCUGCAACACAAGAAGAUCAUGAAUUUCAUCAGAUAAAUUUUCAUUAAGGAACUCUGCUGUGUAUUACAAUAUGAAAAAGAUGCAGUCAUGGCUAAUUAAUUAUAGUUUCACUAUUUAUUAUAAUUUUGUGACUUACCGUUUUUAAAUUUCACUAAUAUAAAACUUUAUAAGAGUUUUUCUAGAGCCUUAUUUUUUUCUUUUAAAAAAACAAUAUGCUAUACUAAAAGUUUUCUAUUCAAAAUUUUCUACUCAAAAUAAUUCACUCUUAAUACUAAUUGAAAUUUUGUUAAUUCUAUUUGCCCACAAGAAGUUUCAGAGAAGUAAAUAUUACUCAAAAAUUCGUCCGUUGCUAAAUGAUUUUUACUUUAUUAGCUUCUAAUAUUCUUUAAUUUUGUACUCAAGCCAUUUUUGUUUACAAAAUACCUAUAUUUCUAAAUAUUUAAAAAACUUUCAAUGAAUAAAUAUGUAUAUUAAUAACACAUACAUAAAUAUAUUUCACAUAAUUUAAAUAUGCAUAUACGUUCAAUAUGUAGCAAAAAUGCAUAUCCAUGACAAAAUAUGUGGAUAUAAAAAUAUUUACAUAUAAUAUUAAUAUCAUUAAUAUAAUUAGCCUACGAAUGAACUGUAAUUGAGAAUUUUCUUAAUGUAGUCUAUAAGUAACUAUAUAGCACGUUGUGGCUUCAUACCUAUUUUCAAAGUAGGAUACCAUGGCAUUAGCAUUUCUUGCUCUAAUCGUAUAGUAUGACCUCAUCUUUUCCGUGUAGCAAUAUAUAAGAGAUGCACAUUAAAAAAUUUUCAACACAAGCAUUCAUAAUUUAAAAAAAAAAUUAGAGCUACUUUCCUGAAAACAUAGCUCUUAGGACUUUAUAACAAUUCUCUACCUGUGACGAAAAAAGCAAGAAAAAAUAAUUUUUAGUAUCUAUAACUUAAAGUGAAAAUGUUGAAAAGUUCUGCUUAGUCUGAACCGACCACGAUUUCAUCGCCGAUGAACUAUUGAGCUCCGGACGUUCAUAUGUAAAUUAAUAGCUACACAAAUAAAUAGUAUAACGAAAUAACACUAAUAAUGUCAAAAUGUAUUUUUAGAAAAGUAACGUAAAAAUCAAAAACACUAUUUAUGUGUACCUAUAUAUUUAUGUGUACAAAAAUGUGUACCUAUAUAUAUUUCCAUUAAAAUAAGUUAUUUAUGUGAAUGAGAUAUCUUUUCAACAAACUUUCGAUUAAUGAAAUUUAUUAAUUUCUGGACCCAGAUGUAAUUAAUUGUUAAAGCAAAAAAUUAUGUAAUAAAGAAUAAAAAUUAAUCAAUCAAUAUAUUAAAUAAAAUAAUUUAUAAUUUAAAUAAUUUUGAUGUAAAAUAGGUAUCACCAAAUAUAAGUUAUUUCUCAAUUAAAAUCAGAAUAAAAUUCAAAUGUGAAAAUAAAAGUGUUGCCAAUAUUAUAUUAUUUUUGCUCUCCUGACAUAAUUAUAGGCUUAUUUGCACAUUAUUUGCACAUACAUAUAUGCAUACAUAUACAUAUAUUUCAAUAUAUACAAAUACAUAUAUGUGUGUGUAUAUAACAUUUGCGUAGACUAAAUAAGCAAUAUAUAUAUUCAUGAACAAACACACAUAUAAACGCAUAUACAUAUGUAGAUAAUAACGGUUAUUACUUGUUACAUAAAUAAACUGUACAUUAAUUAUAUUCUUUAAAUAUAAACAUUAUUUUAUUACAAAAAGUUAUUAUAAAACUUUGUUCACAUUCAAGCCCAAAAAAUACUAUAUACUGUUAAAAAAUUUUUAAAAUUUAAUCUAACGUAGUCUAAUAAAAAUAAUAAUAAUAUAAAAAUAUUAUAAAGUAAUAAAAUUGUUUAUUAAAUAUAACUUACUAAUGAUUAAUACAAACUUAUGUGAUUUUUAAUAAUUUUUUAAUAAAAAUAUUCAAUUUAGGAUGUUACAAUUGAUUGUAUAUAUUAAAAAAAUUCAGUUAUAAGCCUACAAUAUUUUUUAAUUUGUGUUUUUAUAAGUUCUUGUAACAACUGUAAUACAAAUUCAAAAAUAAUUAGCAUUUAACUCUUACAAAGUGCAAUAUAUAUAUAACAUAUACACAAGUCCAGUACAAGUUCUGAACCUUUCUGAAAAAUAUUAGUAUUGAAUUUGAAGUAUGAAAUGACUCAAGCGACAUUUAUUAAAUUAAAUAUAUUAAUAAAAUUAUAAAUUAUAAAACCAAAGAAAUUUACAAAAUAAGAUUUAUUAUUUUCCGAAUAUUUUUCAAAAACACUUUUUGAAAACGAAGAAACUUUCCUUAGUUCGAAAAAUAUAAUUUUCGUUUGAAAAAUGCAAAUCAAUCUGGGUAUAAUCGGAAAGUAAUGAAAAAUGUUCAUCGAUGCAGCGUCGAUGCAAACAAAAGGUAUUAUUUUGACUUUUUUUGGACAUUUUCUAAGUGUUGUGUUUUUUAGUGUUUUAAUGAAUGAUUAUGUUUUCAAAACCUAUUUAAAAAUUGUUUUGGAGAUUUUAAUAUAAUAAGUCAUCUGAAAAUAUUAAUAUGAUCCAAUUUUCACUCUUCUAAGGUAAUUUAUUACUAGAAAUUCAUAAAAGGAAAUUCAUUACUAAAAAUUAGUAUCAUCAAAAAAUUAUUAAUUUUAUUAGUUAUAUAAUAGAAAACAAUAAAGUUAUAUAAUUAUUAACUUUAUUUAAAAUAAAAUUUUGCAUCAAUAUAGAGAAUAACAAAAAAAUUGAUGCACAACUGGUUUAAUAUAAUACGCAUAUACGAUGUGUUUUAUUGACAUUUUCGAAUAUCAAAUUUUAUAAGUGUUACCGAAUCGAUACAGUUUCGUACAUGCUUUUAAGAUGAUUCUCAAUCUCGGAUUGAUUACAUACUUUCCGAUUCUACCCUUUAUCAAAGCCAAUUUUAAUCUAUAUUUUCAUUAUACUUGACAUUUAUUACAAAUGAUUAUAUUUAUAUUUAUAACAACCAAAACCAAACAUUACAACCACAAUUUUAUUAUAUCUUAGGGACAAUACUUAAUUUUGACAGCCGAAUGCUACAUAUCGCCUCGAUUUAAGUAUAGUAUAAAAAAGAACAAAAAAAUAUAGUGUCAAUAAUUAUAAUUUAAUUUUUUAUAUUCCAAAAUUGACAAACUCUAUAAGACACAACUAGUUAGUACUAUAUCGUUUUGAAUGUAUAAUUAUAACACAACCUAACAAAUUGUGUUCAAAAUGACUUUAAAUUAUUACAUAAUAUAUUUUAAUGAUAUAUAUUUUGUUAGUUUGUUUUUUUUAUUUCUAUUCUUUAUUUUUACAAUUAUGAUUGUAAAAGUAAAGAAUACGAAUAAGAGAAUUACUACUAAUGCAAUACCAAUUAUGAUUGUAUGAAAAGAAUAUUUUUUAUCUUUUUAUUUAAAAUAUUUUAUAUAAAACUAGUAUUAAUAUAUUGAUAUAUUAAUUUCAUUAUUAUAUUAAUAUUAAUUUCAUUAUUAAUUUAUAUCAUAUGUAUUUACAUACAUAAAAUUUAAUUGAUGGUAAAAAUGUAGUAAACUACUAAAACGAAUGGAUAUUUAUUUAUAAUACCAUUUGCACAUAUAUAAUUGAAUAUUUCAAUCUUAAUUGUAUAUAAAAAUUUUACAGGCAUAGAUAAAAUUAAAAUAAAAAAUAAAUUAUUAAAAAUUACAUAAAACAAUAAAAUUUCACAUAAGAAACUUAUCAUAUUGAAAAUUUUAAUUUAAAAAAUCAACAAUGAAGUCCAUGUAAAUUUCCUUCAAUCACCUUUGUGAUUAAAAUGAUUUUCGAUUUUUUUAUCCGCGUAGUUAUUAAAUUAAAAUUUCGUUACAGCAUAUUAAUAGUAUAUAGUAUGAAUAAAGUUUAAGUUUUUGAUUCCAUUAAAAGUAAAUAAGAAAACAAUUGAUUUCGUUACGAAAAUGUCUUACAUAUACAUACAUUAUAUACUACAUAUAUAUACUACAAAAUAAUAAUUUCAAGUUAGUUAUUUUUGAAGUUAAGCUAUAUAGAGCAAAAGUAACAUAAAAUUUUAAAUAUAGUUCUAAACGAAUUCGUAAUUUAUAUGUAAUAAUAAUGUAAUAAUAAAUAAUGAUAAUGAUGUUUCUUAUAUACGCAUGCAUUGUUUCUUUAUAUAAUUAAAUUGUAUAUUAUAAAACUUACAAGAAUAUUAAAAUCGUUAAAAGAACAAAACAAAAACUUAGGAAAUUUUAUUAAAUAAAACUAGUUUAAAAUUACAAAAUGUAACGAGAUAAAAAAUAUUCAAUAUAAAAAAAUAAAAAUAAUAAAUAUAUAAAAACUGUAAUUGCAAUGUAAUAUAAAAAUAUUUAAUUUAUUGAUUAAUAAAACCUUAUAGAUGAAAUGUGAAAUUCUUUUUGAAAAAUGUGUUUAAGUUUAUUAAAAAAAUUAAAAUAAGUAUUAAACUCUACCAUAAGCAUAACAAAUUAUACAUAAAAAUAAAUGUAAAAACAAAGAUAACAUUUACAUUGAUAUGUGUAAAUAUAUAUUUAAAUAUAUAUGAAUAUUUUAGAUAUAUGAGUUAUACAUACACACGUAUAAACGUACACAUAGUUAUAUAUG